GCCCCGCCCCCACCCUGCGCCGUCUUUCGCCCCCAUUGGCUGCUCCGUUGAAUAUGGAAUGAAGGGGGCGCGGCGAGAGGCGACCGGGGCGGAUCUGCAUGUGCAGAGCGGCGCUGGCUGGCCCGUGGGCGGCCCCCUUCCUAGCCCCACCCCGCCGCCGCCCGGCCCACCCAGCACCCGGACCCCGCGGCGAGCUCGGUGCCGCCCCGGCCUCUUCAGUGUCAUCUCGCCUGCCCGAAGGCUCACUGCUGUCCUUUCCUCUGGACUCGCGUCCGCCUCCCUUGUUCCCCACGCCCGCUGCGGCCCGUGUCUCAGGGUCUCCCAGGCCCCGGGUCUCUCCGUCCGUCGGGCAGUCCGCGUCUACGCCUCCGUCUCCGUCUCUCUGCUUCUGGUCGGAUGUUUCUCUGCGCUUCUCCCUCCCCUCGCUAGCACCGCGGGACCCUCCCCCUCCCACUUAAUUCCUUCCAUCUGCGGAAUCGCUUCGCGGGCCGGCCGCGCCAGGGGGGGCCGGGGUUCCUGCCCGGGGAAGGACUCCCCGCCCCCUGCCCUCGCCUUCCCUCCACCCCCUCCGCCUUCUCCUGUUUCUGCCCCGGGCCCGCCUCGCCUCUCGCCGCUCUCGUCCGCCAGGACCCCAGUCCCGGGCCUCCCCUGGCGCUUCGGCGGGCUGCCGGGACCUCAGCUUGGGCCCUGGGGCCCCCGGGAAGGCGACUGUCACCCAGCUCCUCGGGACAACCCAGUUAGGCCUCCUCAGCCUGGGGGAGCUCCGGCCCGGCGCGACGGGCCCCUAACGACCAGGCCGCUGGGACCGAUCGGCGGGGCCCAGCGGCUCGGUGCCCGCCCAGCGGACCUGCCUGCCUGCCUGGCGGAGGCCCCAAGUCAUCUUUCCCACCUCCAGUCCGGCCCGGCGGCGUUCACUUUGCAGUGACCUCUGCGUGGCACUGGCCGCUGCGGGGGCGCCCGUUUCCCCCUCUGCAGGAUGGGGUUGAUCGCUGUCCGGCCCCAGGCGGUGUUUGCAAGCUCACCAAGUUGGGUUUGGAAAGCAGAAGGCGCUUUGUAAAGAGGAGGAGGCACCAUGGCCCAGGAAGAGGAAGGAAAAGGACUUGCCAGCAUCACCCAAGAAGCCGAUCACCAAGCCACCUGCUCCUAACCCACCGCCAAGUCCUGGCUCUCCCUUCCUUGGCCAGCCUCGUGGAGUGUCCUCAGAACUGAAGGUAGGUGAGAACUCCCAGGUAAGGCUCGUGUCCCUGUCCCCUUCCCUGUCUGGUGACUCCAGCUACCCCAUGGUUUCCAAAAUGGGGCACUGGAGAGAAGAUAAGAUCUGGAGAAAAGAAACCUGGUCUCUGCAAACCUCAGUUUCCCCAGUUAUCAAACCGGAAUGGGGAUCCUAUUCCUGUAAGCCUCUAUAGUGACUGACAGGGUCAAAUGAAGGGAGGGGCCGGAAGGUGCUUUGCUGGCUGUCAGUAAGCAGCUUUGUGUGGGGGGUGGGGGUGGUAUCGAUCGUUUCAAUAAUAACCAUAUUCAGUGUAUCUGCAGAGAAGAGGUACGGGAGUGGGCAGGGUGAUGUCUGUCCCUAACGCCCAGGCAACAGAUCUGGUAGGGGUUGGUGGAGUUUCAAACCAAGGGCACUGAGCUCAGAGAAGCGGCAGGGUCAUGUGAGGGAAUCGCCUUCAGUUCAACCCGCACGCACAUCAUGUGUCAGAAUAAACAGCAAAGUACACACAAGCAAGGCUGGGAUUUGCCCCUGGGCUGGGCCGGGCUGGGCACUGGGUCCCUCUGGACUGUGUGUUGACACAGAAGGUGUCAGUUUACAGCAGAGAUGGCAACAUGGCAAGUGCACUUGCAGGCACGUCUGCCCCAUCCCCCACCAGGACAGGGCCAAACUCUCGCCAGAUGUGACUCCACGUUCCACCUCAACACAGCACUACCUUUGCAUACAUGUGCACACACACACACACACGCAUGCACACACAUGCACACGUGACCUCCUGUCCACAGAUGCAGCAGCCUCUUGUUGCCAGGGCACAGGGUCUGGUGAGCUUUAGGUGGAUUUCAGCCCCCACUGCUAUGCAGAGCUCUCUUUCUUAUCCUGAGAAGAUCCUUGCCUACAUCGGAGACUGGAAGGGAAGCGGGCUGGUGGAGACUUUGGGAAGGGCUGGAACUGUCUCCCCAGUCACCGCUUGGCCUUCCCUCUCUGUGUAGUCUUUCCCUGGCAGCUCACUGGAUGAAAGUUCAAACAUCUGAAGGAGAUAACACUCAAGGCGUUUGGGACAUCUGAUUCCUGGCCACCUUUCUACCCUCAUCGCAGGUACAACCCGCCCUCCAGCCCUUACAUCACCAUCCGGCAAAGUGCAGGAACUGGGCUCUCCCCACACAUGUGAGGCCCUCCCCUGCCUCCGUGUCUUUGCACAUGCUGUUUCCAUACCAGGAAGAGCCUCCUCUUUCAGUCUUCCUGGGAGUAUCCUCCUGCCCUGCAAGACUCAGCUGAAAAAUUCCUUUCUCCAAGAAGACUUCUGUGAUCACAAACCCCACCCUCCCCCUCACACCUGUAGCCUCUUGUUUAUCCUUGACUAUGGGGUGUUUGCAUGGUCUUAGGAUAGUUGUGAAGCUUAGGAUAUUUGCGAAGUCCUCCCUUCCUAUCCCCUGCCACCCAGCACCACUACUGGACUAAGAUACUCUCAGGAGCUGUAACUCCUUUGUCUAACCCAGCACCGGAUCAGAGCAGGCCCUCUGUUUACUUAAGGAAUGAGUGGAUAAACUCAGAAAGCCCUUGUGGUUUGUAGACACAGCAACGGGAGACUGUGACAUCUGGUCUGGAACAUUCAGAGACCGCAGGAGCUCUAGCAGAAGCAGUGAGUUUUGCUGAGCAUCCAUGACCUCCUGCAAGCUUCAGGUAUUAGAAACCUAGCCUGCAAUGCGUCCAUGUUCAGAGGUAGGACCUUUAAGAAGUGAAUAAGGGGAGCCGGCGCUGUGGCUCAAUAGGCUAAUCCUCUGCCUUGUGGCGCCGGCACACAGGGUUCUAGUCCUGGUCGGGGCGCCGGAUUCUGUCCCGGUUGUCCCUCUUCCAGGCCAGCUCUCUGCUGUGGCCCAGGAGUGCAGUGGAGGAUGGCCCAAGUGCUUGGGCCCUGCACCCCAUGGGAGACCAAGAGAAGCACCUGGCUCCUGGCUUUGGAUCAGCGUGGUGUGCCGGCCACGGCGGCCAUUGGAGGGUGAACCAACAGCAAAGGAAGACCUUUCUCUUUCUCUCUGUCUCUCUCUCUCUCUCACUGUCCACUCUGCCUGUCAAAAAUAAAAAUAAAUAAAAAAAAGAAGUGAA